rnacentral:lncRNA from 1 species
GACAACUGCCCUGUUCUUCUGCUACCUGCUGAGAGGCUGAACCUGUCUUCCUGAGAUGUUCCUGAGAUAGCUGACUACCUGUGGAACUGGCGACUUACUGCUAACAGCUCUGGCAGACUAGUGCUAACAACUUGGCAACAAUACACCAAGAAGCCUGGCCCGAGUGCUGAUGGAAUGGCUCCAGGCACCAAGAGUGGACUGGCAGGGGAAUGGGCCUUCUGCCUUAUAAACACGGUCUCUUAAUAAAUUUGAGAGCCCUGAAGAGGGAAUCGUCUUGGCUCCAUUAAUCUCUCUCACCGUCUAAGUCUUUUUCAGCCCCAGCCUGUCUCCCAGGUGUACCCGGUUCAUAUAGGCCAUCGGCCAGUAUACAACAGAUUGGCGUCCGAGCCAGGGACAUUGGGAACGGCGGGAAACCACUGAGGGAAUUGCUGUCUUGCAUGGAGCUCCAAGGGAAGGAAAGAAUCAGAGGAUUGUAUCGGGCAUGGUGACCAACAGGGUGACCUCCAGGCUGAGAACCGCUGCUCUAGAGCAAUAUGGAAAGAUUUCCUGUGUGCAGUAUCCUCCAUGAAAUGAUCAGGCUGCUGAACUGAACAGAAACUUCAGGUCUGUGCCACGGACUUCAUCUGCUAACGAACUGGCGUAUCCGCACUGCCGUGGAACGUCUGCAGUGUUGGAGCAGCACUGUUACAGCAGUAAAAACUAUUCGGCUUUCUGUAGGGACUGGGUAAAUAAAUCCUGGUGUGUUCUUGUGAUGAAACUUCACAUACUUCAUAGGAAGAAUGGAGGGCAGCAAUGUUACCACUGUGAAAUCCUCCUUGAGAAGUACUUUAAGUGAGAAUGAGAAAUUUGUAUGCAACAUAUUCCUACUGGGUUUAAAAACUAAGACUCCUGGGGAAGACUACAAACUAUUGUACAACUGGUGCCCAUUUCUCGAAGUGACACUUCUGAAGCACCAAGCGUUGGCUCAGAUCAGUGAACCCCUUGACUUCUGGUCUGUUACUUAGAUUCUAAUAGUUUACAUAUUUCAAUUUUUGCUUAUAAUUACACAAAUUACUAUCGCAGAUGAGAGAGAAACGAUCCUAGAUUGAUUGCGUUUCACUCCAGGCUCAGGCAAGUUGUAAGGCUUCCUUAAUUGUCAUCUAAACACACUUUUAAUUGUGACUUAACUCCGGAAAAUAAGAUUCUUUGGAAUUGGAGAAAUUCCCUUGAUUUAUGCAUAGAGUUUUCAUGUGCCCUUUGAAAUGCCUUAUUCAAAUUAGUAAGUAAUCAAAUUGCCAAGUUAUGUUUAUAUAACUUGUAGUUCUAAUUAGUUUAGGAUGUAGCUCAUUUGUGUGAUGCCACUGUACAAGCCAAAAGUAGUGUUGUAAUUUUUAAUUAAAUGGUUGCCUCAGAUGAGAGCUACUGAAUUUUUUUAACCUUUUACUUUUUGAAUUUGAAUUCUCCCUGUUUACUCUAGAGGACCAUAUUCUGUGUAUCUGUUUCUUGAAUUUUGCCAUCCCCCACCAGGAGUUAUCAGAGUGAUGUUGCGUGAGGGCUGUGUGUGUGGAGGGGGGGGCGGGUGGGGAGGUGUAGCUAUUUUGUAGGCAGGGCAUUUUAUUGGUUUGAAAAUUGUUUAUCUUUCUCUGUAAAGUUUGGCAAGCGGCAGAGUAGGGUAUGAACAACCUGGGUUUUGAAGUUGGGCCAGACUUAGAAUGUUGAUGCACUAAUUAGCAGUUACUUUAUGUGACUUACUAGGUAUGUAUCCUGAACAUUAAAAUUUCUAACAGGCAGUUGUAAAGUAGGUAUAAUCUUUAGCACACUGGAGAGUAGGGGAACUAAUAAGAGCAAAUACUUAGAGAAUUUGGGCAGUAACUGGCGUUGCGGCUUUCCAGUGUGGCCUUUAAUUUAAUGUGGGACUUUACAGUGAAUAGUCAACACUGUCACAGCAUCAACUGAAAAUUACGUUCUGCAGAUAACUUCUUUCCAUUUUCGUUGUUGUUUGGCACAAGGUCUCAAACGCUCAGGCCGGCCUUGAACUUGCUGUAUAGAUGAGGAUGACUUUAAACCUCACAUCCUCUUGCUUGUACUUCCCUAGUGCUGAGGUGACAGGCAUGAGCCACCACACCUGACUACAGAGGACUUCUUAAUAAAUGCAUAUAGGGUCCAUGAGGAAGUUGUGGUUAUGAUCAAUAUACACUGUAUCCACGUGUCCUGGCUGGUUUUGCAAGCUAGAGUCAUUGGAAAGGAGAGAUCCUCCUUUCCAUUUCAGAAAAUGCCUCCAUAAUAUUCAGCUGUAGGGCAUUUCCUAUGGUGGCAUCCCUGGCCUGAUGGUCCUCGGUUCUAUAAGAAAGCAGGCUGACCAAUCCGUGAAGAGCGAACCAGUAAGCAACACCUCUCCAUGGCCUCUGCAUCAGGUUCUGCCUCCAGGGUCCUGCCCUGUUUGAGUUCCUUUCCUGACUUCUUUCAAUGAUGGACCACAAUGUGGAAAUGUAAGCCCAAUAAACCCUUUCCUUCCCAACUUGCUUCAUGGUGUUGCAUCACAGCAGUAGAAGCCUAACAAAGGCACUGUGUAUGACACUUUCA